rnacentral:rRNA from 1 species
CUGGACGUGGGCACGCCCAAAGUGUUCGACAACAAGUACUUCCUCAACAUGUUGGACCGGAAGGGGCUCUUCGUGUCCGACCAGGAUCUCUUCACCAACUCCAUGACCCGGCCCAUCGGUGAGCGCUUCGCGCGCAGCCAGCGCGACUUCUUCAACCAGUUCAGCGUGUCCAUGGUCAAGAUGGGCCAGAUCAACGUUCUCACCGGCGGCCAGGGCCAGAUCCGCCGCAACUGCGCCGUCCGCAACCCCAGAACCGUCGAUGGCCUCGAGCGAUCGUCCAUCAUGCAGACCGUCGUCGACGCCGCCGCGGAGAGCCUCGGCUUCUAG